rnacentral:rRNA from 1 species
CCUCGAAUCAGGCGGGACUACCCGCUGAACUUAAGCAUAUCAAUAAGCGGAGGAAAAGAAACUAACAAGGAUUCCCCUAGUAACGGCGAGUGAAGCGGGAAGAGCUCAAAUUUAAAAUCUGGUAGUCUUUGGCUGCCCGAGUUGUAAUCUGGAGAAGCGUUUUCCGCGUUGGACUGUGUACAAGUUUCCUGGAUACGGAACAUCAUAGAGGGUGAGAAUCCCGUCCUUGACACAGACGCCCAAUGCUAUGUGAUGCGCUCUCGACGAGUCGAGUUGUUUGGGAAUGCAGCUCAAAAUGGGAGGUAAAUUCCUUCUAAAGCUAAAUAUUGGCGAGAGACCGAUAGCGAACAAGUACCGUGAGGGAAAGAUGAAAAGCACUUUGGAAAGAGAGUUAAACAGUACGUGAAAUUGUUAAAAGGGAAACGAUUGAAGUCAGUCGCGUUUGUUCGGACUCAGCCUUGCCUCGGCUUGGUGCAUUUCCUUAUAAACGGGCCAACGUCCAUGUGUCCUGCCGGAGAAGGUUCGAGGGAAUGUAGCUCCUCCGGGAGUGUUAUAGCCCUUGUUCGUAUACGGCGCGAGAUAUGGAGUGGAACAGCAUGCUUCGGUUGUGCUUGUGUUGA